AACGAACGCUGGCGGCAUGCCUAACACAUGCAAGUCGAACGAAGGCUUCGGCCUUAGUGGCGCACGGGUUCGUAACGCGUGGGAAUCUUCCCUUUUGUUCGGAAUAACAGCUGGAAACGGCUGCUAAUACCGGAUGAUGACUAAAGUCCAAAGAUUUAUCGCCAGAGGAUGAGCCCGCGUUGGAUUAGGUAGUUGGUGGGGUAAAGGCCUACCAAGCCGACGAUCCAUAGCUGGUCUGAGAGGAUGAUCAGCCACACUGGGACUGAGACACGGCCCAGACUCCUACGGGAGGAAGCAGAGGGGAAUAUUGGAAAAUGGGCGAAAGCCUGAUCCAGCAAUGCCGCGUGAGUGAUGAAGGCCGUAGGGUUGUAAAGCUCUAUUAACCGGGAAGAUAAUGACUGUACCGGGAGAAUAAGCCCCGGCUAACUACGUG
rnacentral:rRNA from 1 species